CCUACGGGGCGCAGCAGUAGGGAAUCUUCCACAAUGGGCGAAAGCCUGAUGGAGCAACGCCGCGUGGGUGAAGAAGGUCUUCGGAUCGUAAAAGCCUGUUGUUAGAGAAGAAAGUGCGUGAGAGUAACUGUUCACGUUUCGACGGUAUCUAACCAGAAAGCCACGGCUAACUACGUGCCAGCGGCCGCGGUAAUACGUAGGUGGCAAGCGUUAUCCGGAUUUAUUGGGCGUAAAGGGAACGCAGGCGGUCAUUUAAGUAUGAUGUGAAAGCCUUCGGCUUAACCGGGGAAGUGCGUUGUGAACUG
rnacentral:rRNA from 1 species